CCUACGGGUGGCAGCAGUGAGGAAUAUUGGUCAAUGGCCGGAAGGCUGAACCAGCCAUGCCGCGUGAAGGUCAGUGGCCUAUGGGCGUUACACUUCUUUUGUGCGGGAGCAAUAAUGGUCACGUGUGGCCAGACGAGAGUACCGUACGAAUAAGCAUCGGCUAACUCCGUGCCAGCAGCCGCGGUAAUACGGGGGAUGCCAGCGUUAUCCGGGUUUUUUGGGUUUAAAGGGUGCGUAGGCUGUGAGGUCAGUCAGCGGUGAAAUGCCCCCGCUCAACGGGGUGAAGUGCCAUUGAUACUGCCUUGCUGGAAUGCGGAUGCCGUGGGAGGAAUGUGUGGUGUAGCGGUGAAAGGCAUAGAUAUCACACAGAACACCGAUUGCGAAGGCAUCUCACGAAUCCGCGAUUGACGCUGAUGCACGAAAGCGUGGGUAUCAAACAGGAUUAGAUACCCCUGUAGUC
rnacentral:rRNA from 1 species